rnacentral:rRNA from 1 species
UACGGGGGGAGCAAGCGUUGUUCGGAUUUACUGGGCGUAAAGGGCGCGUAGGCGGCCACCGCAAGUCGACUGUGAAAUCUCCGGGCUUAACCCGGAAAGGUCAGCCGAUACUGCGGGGCUAGAGUGCAGAAGGGGCAACUGGAAUUCUCGGUGUAGCGGUGAAAUGCGUAGAUAUCGAGAGGAACACCUGCAGCGAAGGCGGGUUGCUGGGCUGACACUGACGCUGAGGCGCGAAAGCUAGGGGAGCGAACGGG